GCGUGGCCGAAUGGUUACGCUAUCCGCUUUGUAAGCGGAUGAUUCUGGGUUCGAUUCCCAUCUGUUGCA
rnacentral:tRNA from 1 species